UUAAAUAGUAAGCAGAUUUCUUAAAUGCCAAAGUGAUCAGAAAAUUUGGAACUCAAAUUUAAAAGCUUUAUAGUACGCCUCAACCACCUUCAUAUCUGACGAUCUCAUCUUCAACAAUAAAUAAAUAAAUGUUAUUAUCAAAAGUUGUUCACAAAUAGAAAAUAAUAUUUAGCCACGUAUAUUAUUCAAUUUUAGUUGAAUGAUUGCGUAAAAUGAGGGAUAUGUUUCGUUGGUGAUUCCGAGAUCCAAUCUAUUGACUAUACAAGCAAUGAUAAUGGCCCAAAUCUCACACUUUCAAACUAUGAAAUUAAAGUUACUAAGCCCAAAGAUGGAGGAUGCCCAAUAUACCGCUCCAAGCCUCCACCGCCUCAAGUGAUAGGGAAACAGCCACGCAUCGUUCAUGCAGUUAUCCUCUUGACCGUGCGCCGCUGCCUGGUGUGAAAAAGCUAACGACUUCGCCAGUAGAUCCUCGAUUUACCAUGGCUUUGUUGCCGGACCACCAAUCUUCACCUGUAAAGGGAUGCAGCUUCUCUUUGAUCGCCUUCCUCACUCAUCAUCAACCUUCAACAGCUGGCUGUGAUGAGAGCGUUCACGUCUCCGGUGAAGUUAAUCGGAAGAACUUCGCCGCCCCACUCAGGAUUGAUGGCAAGCAGACGCGAUAUUGCCCUCUUCAAACUCGGUCGACCUAGUUGAGUAGAGAUCAGAUGGAGUUAAGUGAUGCUUAGAGAGCUACCCGAGAAUCCAAUCUGAUAGAUUGGAAAUUUAUUUCUCGACUCAAACAGAAGAAAAAUAAAAACCAUUGAAGAACGGUUCUGUUUGAAUCGAAACACACAACAAAAAAAGUACAAACUCGCUAAGCGAAAGAUAAGAUCCGACCAAGCAUAGAUCGCUUGACCAGAACUAAAACAGAAAACAAAAAGAUCUGAUCUGAAAAAUUAAAAUAUUUCACAAAAGGUUUAGUCUUUUCUCUUUCUCCGUGAAAAUAGAUGUGAAAGAACAGAGAGAAGAGAAAUAUUUAUAGGCUCUGAAUGGUAACUGCGGUUUGAGCAGUGCGGGACAGGCGGUUUAACUGCGGUGCGAUUUUUAACAGUUAUAAAAAAGUAUAAAAUAUAUGGUAUAUUUAGAGAUUUUUGUUACUGUUAACUGCGGUGCAUGGCGU
rnacentral:lncRNA from 1 species